AUUCCAGCUCCAAUAGCGUAUAUUAAAGUUGUUGCAGUUAAAAAGCUCGUAGUUGGAUUUCUGGUUUGAGCGUCCGGUCCGCUUCCUCUGGAAGUGUGUACUAAGGAUGUUUGAGCCAUUUUUUGUGAGGACGUUUUUCUGUCAUUAAGUUGAUGGUUGAAUGGACUUGCAUCGUUUACUGUGAAAAAAUUAGAGUGUUUAAAGCAGGCGUUUGCUCAUUGAAUACAUUAGCAUGGAAUAAUAAGAUACGACCUUGGUGGUCUAUUUUGUUGGUUUGCACACCAGGGUAAUGAUUAAUAGGGACAGUUGGGGGUAUUCAUAUUUCAACGUCAGAGGUGAAAUUCUUGGAUCGUUGAAAGAUGAGCUUAGGCGAAAGCAUUUACCAAGGAUGUUUUCAUUA
rnacentral:rRNA from 1 species